rnacentral:rRNA from 1 species
UACGAAGGGUGCAAGCGUUACUCGGAAUUACUGGGCGUAAAGCGUGCGUAGGUGGUUUGUUAAGUCUGAUGUGAAAGCCCUGGGCUCAACCUGGGAAUUGCAUUGGAUACUGGCAGGCUAGAGUGCGGUAGAGGAUGGCGGAAUUCCCGGUGUAGCAGUGAAAUGCGUAGAGAUCGGGAGGAACAUCAGUGGCGAAGGCGGCUGCCUGGCCCAAUACUGACACUCAGGUGCGACAGCGUGGGGAGCAAACGGG